rnacentral:rRNA from 1 species
GGAUUAGAUACCCUGGUAGUCCACGCCGUAAACGAUGUCAACUAGCCGUUGGGAGGAUUUGCCUCUUAGUGGCGCAGCUAACGCGAUAAGUUGACCGCCUGGGGAGUACGGUCGCAAGACUAAAACUCAAAGGAAUUGACGGGGGCCCGCACAAGCGGUGGAGCAUGUGGUUUAAUUCGAUGCAACGCGAAGAACCUUACCAGCCCUUGACAUCCAGAGAACUUGCUAGAGAUAGCUUGGUGCCUUCGGGAACUCUGUGACAGGUGCUGCAUGGCUGUCGUCAGCUCGUGCCG